GGACCUGACUGCUAUCGGAUUGAUACUAAGCCAUGCGAGUCUUUGCAGUAAUGCAAGGCAUACGGCUCAGUAACACGUAGUCAACUUACCCUAUGGACGAGGAUAAUCUCGGGAAACUGAGCAUAAUACUCGAUAGAUCAUAAUGCCUGGAAUGGUUUAUGGUUGAAACGAUUCGUCGCCAUAGGAUAGGACCGCGGCCUAUCAGCUUGUUGGUGAGGUAAUGGCCCACCAAGGCGACUACAGGUACGGGCUCUGAGAGGAGAAGCCCGGAGAUGGGUACUGAGACAAGGACCCAGGCCCUAUGGGGCGCAGCAGGCGAGAAAACUUUGCAAUGUGCGAAAGCACGACAAGGUUAAUCCGAGUGAUUUCUGCUAAAGAAAUCUUUUGCGAGUCAUAAAACCACUAGUGAAUAAGGGGUGGGCGAGUUCUGGUGU
rnacentral:rRNA from 1 species